AUGAACGCUGGCGGCGUGCCUAAUACCUGCAAGUCGAGCGCACAGACGAGGAGCUUGCUCCUCUGACGUUAGCGGCGGACGGGUGAGUAACACGUGGAUAACCUACCUAUAAGACUGGGAUAACUUCGGGAAACCGGAGCUAAUACCGGAUAAUAUAUUGAACCGCAUGGUUCAAUAGUGAAAGACGGUUUUGCUGUCACUUAUAGAUGGAUCCGCGCCGCAUUAGCUAGUUGGUAAGGUAACGGCUUACCAAGGCAACGAUGCGUAGCCGACCUGAGAGGGUGAUCGGCCACACUGGAACUGAGACACGGUCCAGACUCCUACGGGAGGCAGCAGUAGGGAAUCUUCCGCAAUGGGCGAAAGCCUGACGGAGCAACGCCGCGUGAGUGAUGAAGGUCUUCGGAUCGUAAAACUCUGUUAUUAGGGAAGAACAAAUGUGUAAGUAACUAUGCACGCCUUGACGGUACCUAAUCAGAAAGCCACGGCUAACUACGUG
rnacentral:rRNA from 1 species